rnacentral:rRNA from 1 species
CAGCAGCCGCGGUAAUACGAAGGGUGCAAGCGUUAAUCGGAAUUACUGGGCGUAAAGCGUACGUAGGCGGCUUUGCAAGUUAGAGGUGAAAGCCUGGAGCUCAACUCCAGAAUUGCCUUUAAGACUGCAUCGCUUGAACGUCGGAGAGGUGAGUGGAAUUCCGAGUGUAGAGGUGAAAUUCGUAGAUAUUCGGAAGAACACCAGUGGCGAAGGCGGCUCACUGGACGACUGUUGACGCUGAGGUACGAAAGCGUGGGGAGCAAACAGGAUUAGAUACCCGCGUAGUCCCUGUCUCUUAUAC